rnacentral:rRNA from 1 species
AAUAAGCCACGGCUAACUUCUUGCCAGCAGCCGUGGUAAUACGGAAGGGGCAAGCGUUGUCCGGAUUUAUUGGGUUUAAAGGGUGCGUAGGCGGCUUAUUAAGUCAGUGGUGAAAUCUCUCCGCUUAACUGAGAAAGUGCCAUUGAUACUGAGGGGCUUGAAUACAGAUGAGGUAGGCGGAAUUGACGGUGUAACGGUGAAAUGCUUAGAUACCGUCAAGAACACCUAUACCGAAGGCAGCUUACUAGGCUGUAACUGACGCUGACGCACGAAAGCCUGGGGAUCGAACAGGAUUAGAUACCCUGGU